CACGCCGUAAACGAUGAUGACUGGACCGGUGCGGGUCUUACCCCGUAUCGGUCGAAGCGAAAGCGUUAAGUCAUCCGCCUGGGAAGUACGGUCGCAAGACUAAAACUCAAAUGAAUUGACGGGGGCUCACACAAGCGGUGGAGCAUGUUGCUUAAUUCGAGGCAACGCGAAGAACCUUACCUGGGUUUGACAUGCACGGAUUAACUUUAUGAAAGUAGAGCCACACUCGCAAGAGUGGAACGUGCACAGGUGC
rnacentral:rRNA from 1 species